rnacentral:rRNA from 1 species
AUUGAACGCUGGCGGCAGGCUUAACACAUGCAAGUCGAGCGAGCGGCGGACGGGUGAGUAAUGUCUGGGAAACUGCCUGCUGGAGGGGGAUAACUACUGGAAACGGUAGCUAAUACCGCAUACCAUCAGAUGUGCCCAGCUGGGAUUAGCUAGGAGGUGGGGUAAUGGAUCACCGAGGCGACGAUCCCUAGCUGGUCUGAGAGGAUGACCAGCCACACCAGAACUGAGACCCGGUCCAUGCUCCUACGGGAGUGCACAGUGGGGGAUAUUGCAACAGGGGCGCAAGCCUGAGUGAUGCAGGCCGCGUGUGUGAAGAAGGCCUUCGGGUUGUAAAGCACUUGCAGCGAGGAGGCGUUACUCGCAGAAGAAGCACCGGCUAACUCCGUGCCAGCAGCCGCGGUAAUAC